rnacentral:lncRNA from 7 species
UAAGAUGGAAUUUCCUUGUAUCGCGCUCCUUCAGCCCACCUCCUCCCUCCAAGCUGAGAGCAUCUUUCCCAAAUUGCCUUUUUUUUUUUUUUUUUUCUUUUUUCCUCCUCUCCAAACAUAUGGCAGCGAGAGAACUGAAAAUGGUCAGUGCCAGGAGCAGAUCGUUGCUUUUUUGGGUGUCAGUGUGCAACUUCCUCGCGCUGCUCCCGCUCGCCGGCAGCACCCGUUGAGAUGUCUCACUCAAAAGUCAGAGCCUGACAGCUGUGAAGUGCACCUGAAGACUAACCCUGAUGGGAGGAGUGUGCUGAAUGGUCUUUUCUGAAACAUACAAAUGGGACUUUCCUUGUUCAGUACUCCACUAUUUUUGGACAAGUGAUCUUUUAACCUACUUAAGGAGAAGUGUUACUGUGAGAUGCUAAAUAACUGUUUGUGCCAUGCUUGCUCUGCAAGAGUAUUGGGAUGGGCCAAGAGGAGGCCAAGGUGAGGGGAGAGGUUUGCAUCUACAGGGCAGUGCCAGCUAAGCAGGUCCAAAGCCAAGCCCCUGGGUGGCCAUGCUGUGGAACUCCUCCAGGCACUCCUGGAAUCAGCACGGAUGGGGAAUUACAGCGGGCAGAGGCUGCCCCACUGCACAUCUUGUACACCAAAGGGAGCAGCAACUGAGCAGUGCAAGGGCUUGUCGCAGAUUCACUCAGGGAUUCAUGAAUUUCUUGGUGAUCCAAAAACAGAUGGAAGGAAAUCAUGUAAUGCUUGCUACUUGCAUGUAUUUGACCGGAAAUUUAGUAAAA